rnacentral:rRNA from 1 species
UACGGGGGGUGCAAACGUUGCUCGGAAUUAUUGGGCGUAAAGCGCGCGUAGGCGGCUACUUAAGUCGGAUGUGAAAGCCCUUGGCUCAACUGAGGAAGUGCACCCGAAACUGAGUGGCUAGAGUACGAAAGAGGGUCGCGGAAUUCCCGGUGUAGAGGUGAAAUUCGUAGAUAUCGGGAGGAACACCGGUGGCGAAGGCGGCGACCUGGGUCGAUACUGACGCUGAUGCGCGAAAGCGUGGGGAGCAAACAGG